rnacentral:rRNA from 1 species
AUACGUAGGGGGCGAGCGUUGUCCGGAAUGAUUGGGCGUAAAGGGCGCGUAGGCGGCGCGGUAAGUCUGGAGUGAAAGUCCUGCUUUCAAGGUGGGAAUUGCUUUGGAUACUGCCGCGCUUGAGUGCAGGAGAGGUUAUCGGAAUUCCCGGUGUAGCGGUGAAAUGCGUAGAGAUCGGGAGGAACACCAGUGGCGAAGGCGGGUAACUGGACUGCAACUGACGCUGAGGCGCGAAAGUGUGGGGAGCAAACAGGAUUAGAUACCCUGGUAGUCCACACUGUAAACGAUGAAUGCUAGGUGUAAGAGGUAUCGACCCCUUUUGUGCCGGAGUCAACACAAUAAGCAUUCCGCCUGGGGAGUACGGCCGCAAGGUUGAAACUCAAAGGAAUCGACGGGG